AUGCGGCUGCUAUAAUGCAGUCGACGAACUCUGGUAUUGAUUGGUGCUUGCAUCAUGAUUUACAUUUGAGUGAGUGGCGAACUGGUGAGUAACACGUGGGAAACCUGCCCAGAAGCGGGGGAUAACACCUGGAAACAGAUGCUAAUACCGCAUAACAACUUGGACCGCAUGGUCCGAGUUUGAAAGAUGGCUUCGGCUAUCACUUUUGGAUGGUCCCGCGGCGUAUUAGCUAGAUGGUGAGGUAACGGCUCACCAUGGCAAUGAUACGUAGCCGACCUGAGAGGGUAAUCGGCCACAUUGGGACUGAGACACGGCCCAAACUCCUACGGGAGGCAGCAGUAGGGAAUCUUCCACAAUGGACGAAAGUCUGAUGGAGCAACGCCGCGUGAGUGAAGAAGGGUUUCGGCUCGUAAAACUCUGUUGUUAAAGAAGAACAUAUCUGAGAGUAACUGUUCAGGUAUUGACGGUAUUUAACCAGAAAGCCACGGCUAACUACGUGCCAGCAGCCGCGGUAAUACGUAGGUGGCAAGCGUUGUCCGGAUUUAUUGGGCGUAAAGCGAGCGCAGGCGGUUUUUUAAGUCUGAUGUGAAAGCCUUCGGCUCAACCGAAGAAGUGCAUCGGAAACUGGGAAACUUGAGUGCAGAAGAGGACAGUGGAACUCCAUGUGUAGCGGUGAAAUGCGUAGAUAUAUGGAAGAACACCAGUGGCGAAGGCGGCUGUCUGGUCUGUAACUGACGCUGAGGCUCGAAAGUAUGGGUAGCAAACAGGAUUAGAUACCCUGGUAGUCCAUACCGUAAACGAUGAAUGCUAAGUGUUGGAGGGUUUCCGCCCUUCAGUGCUGCAGCUAACGCAUUAAGCAUUCCGCCUGGGGAGUACGGCCGCAAGGCUGAAACUCAAAGGAAUUGACGGGGGCCCGCACAAGCGGUGGAGCAUGUGGUUUAAUUCGAAGCUACGCGAAGAACCUUACCAGGUCUUGACAUACUAUGCAAAUCUAAGAGAUUAGACGUUCCCUUCGGGGACAUGGAUACAGGUGGUGCAUGGUUGUCGUCAGCUCGUGUCGUGAGAUGUUGGGUUAAGUCCCGCAACGAGCGCAACCCUUAUUAUCAGUUGCCAGCAUUAAGUUGGGCACUCUGGUGAGACUGCCGGUGACAAACCGGAGGAAGGUGGGGAUGACGUCAAAUCAUCAUGCCCCUUAUGACCUGGGCUACACACGUGCUACAAUGGAUGGUACAACGAGUUGCGAACUCGCGAGAGUAAGCUAAUCUCUUAAAGCCAUUCUCAGUUCGGAUUGUAGGCUGCAACUCGCCUACAUGAAGUCGGAAUCGCUAGUAAUCGCGGAUCAGCAUGCCGCGGUGAAUACGUUCCCGGGCCUUGUACACACCGCCCGUCACACCAUGAGAGUUUGUAACACCCAAAGUCGGUGGGGUAACCUUUUAGGAACCAGCCGCCUAAGGUGACAGAGA
rnacentral:rRNA from 2 species